rnacentral:rRNA from 1 species
GAAAAGCUUGCGGCUGAUUAGCUUGUUGGUGAGGUAAUGGCUCACCAAGGCGACGAUCAGUAUCUGGUUUGAGAGGACGAUCAGACACACUGGAACUGAGACACGGUCCAGACUCCUACGGGAGGCAGCAGUAGGGAAUUUUCCGCAAUGGGCGAAAGCCUGACGGAGCAAUACCGCGUGAGGGAUGAAUGCCUAUGGGUUGUAAACCUCUUUUUUCAGGGAGGAACCUAAUGACGUGUACCUGAAGAAUAAGCAUCGGCUAACUCCGUGCCAGCAGCCGCGGUAAGACGGAGGAUGCAAGUGUUAUCCGGAAUCACUGGGCGUAAAGCGUCUGUAGGUGGUUUAAUAAGUCAACUGUUAAAUCUUGAGGCUUAACUUCAAAAUCGCAGUCGAAACUAUUAGACUAGAGUAUAGUAGGGGUAAAGGGAAUUUCCAGUGAAGCGGUGAAAUGCGUAGAUAUUGGAAGGAACACCAAUGGCGUAAGCACUUUACUGGGCUGUUACUGACACUCAGAGACGAAAGCUAGGGUAGCAAAUGGGAUUAGAU